AGCGAACGCUGGCGGCAGGCUUAACACAUGCAAGUCGAGCGGGCACCUUCGGGUGUCAGCGGCAGACGGGUGAGUAACACGUGGGAACGUACCCUUUGGUUCGGAACAACUCUGGGAAACUGGAGCUAAUAUCGGAUACGCCCUUGGGGAAAGGUUUACCGCCGAAGGAUCGGCCCGCGUCUGAUUAGCUAGUUGGUGAGGUAACGGCUCACCAAGGCGACGAUCAGUAGCUGGUCUGAGAGGAUGAUCAGCCACACUGGGACUGAGACACGGCCCAGACUCCUACGGGAGGCAGCAGUGGGGAAUAUUGGACAAUGGGCGCAAGCCUGAUCCAGCCAUGCCGCGUGAGUGAUGAAGGCCUUAGGGUUGUAAAGCUCUUUUGUCCGGACGAUAAUGACGGUACCGGAAGAAUAAGCCCCGGCUAACUUCGUGCCAGCAGCCGCGGUAA
rnacentral:rRNA from 1 species